GAUGAACGCUGGCGGCGUGCCUAAUACAUGCAAGUCGAGCGAAAAGACGAGGAUCUUGCUCCUCUGACGUUAGCGGCGGACGGGUGAGUAACACGUGGAUAACCUCCCUAUAAGACUGGGAACACUACGGGAAACCGGCGCAUAUACGGGAGAAUAUCUUGAACCGUAUGGUUCAAUAGUGAAAGACAGCUUUGCUGUAACUUAUCGAUGGAUCUACGCCGGAUUAGCUAGUUGGUAAGGUAACGGGCUAUCAAGGGAACUAGGGGUAUCCGACGUGAGAGGGGGAUCGGCCACACUGGAGCUGGGACGCGGUCCAGGCUCCUACGGGAGGCAGCAGUAGGGAAUCUUACGCAAUGGGCGAGAGCCUGACAGAGCAACGCCGCGUGAGUGAUGAAGAUCUUCGGUUCGUAAAACUCUGUUAUUAGGGAUGAACAAAUGUGUAAGUUGCUAUGCACGUCUUGACGGUACCUAAUCAGAAAGCCACGGCUAACUACGUG
rnacentral:rRNA from 1 species